rnacentral:rRNA from 2 species
CAACCGUGGAGGGUCAUUGGAAACUGGGGAACUUGAGUGCAGAAGAGAAAAGCGGAAUUCCACGUGUAGCGGUGAAAUGCGUAGAGAUGUGGAGGAACACCAGUGGCGAAGGCGGCUUUUUGGUCUGUAACUGACGCUGAGGCGCGAAAGCGUGGGGAGCAAACAGGAUUAGAUACCCUGGUAGUCCACGCCGUAAACGAUGAGUGCUAAGUGUUAGAGGGUUUCCGCCCUUUAGUGCUGCAGCUAACGCAUUAAGCACUCCGCCUGGGGAGUACGGUCGCAAGACUGAAACUCAAAGGAAUUGACGGGGGCCCGCACAAGCG